rnacentral:rRNA from 1 species
AUUGAACGCUAGCGGGAUGCUUUACACAUGCAAGUCGAACGAGUGGCGGACGGGUGUGUAAUGUAUCGGAACGUGCCCAGUGGGGGGGGAUAACUACUCGAAAGAGUGGCUAAUACCCCAUACUAUUGGAGCGACCGAUAUCGGAUUAGCUAGUGGGUGGGGUAAAGGUUCACCAAGGCAAAGAUCCGUAGCUGGUUUGAGAGGAAGACCGGCCACACUGGGACUGGGACACGGCCCAGACUCCUACGGGAGGCAGCAGUGGGGAAUUUUGGACAAGGGGGGAAACCCUGAUCCAGCCAUCCGGCUUGUAUGAGAAGGCCUUCGGGUUUAAAAGUACUUUUGGCAGAGAAGCGGUAUCUGCAGAAUAAGCACCGGCUAACUACGUGCCAGCAGCCGCGGUAAUUC